rnacentral:lncRNA from 1 species
UUCAAGGGGUACAUGUACAGUUUUGUUACACUGCAUAUUGAUGAAGUCUGGACUUUUAGUGUACCCAUCACCCAAGUUAUGAACAUUGUACCCAAGAGAAAAAAAGGUUUACCACAGUGGCUCAAGGAAAACGGAACCAGAGUAAGACAGUUUCUACUUGGACUUGGGGAACCAGCAAACUCAUUCACUUACAAUCAAGAACAAACCGAUUAAAUUGAAUAAAGAAUCUGGCAAAUCUAGCUACUAUGGUUUGGCUUAGUGUCCCCACCCAAAUCUCAUGUCGAAUGUGCUGGAGAAGGAGCCUGGUGGGAGGUGAUUGGAUCAUGGGGGUGAAUUUCCUCCUUGCUGUUCUCAUGAAUGUGAGUAAGUUCUCACGACAUCUGAUGGUUUAACAAUGUGUGGCACUUCCCCCUGCUCUCUUUCUCUCUCUCCCCUGCCACCAUGUAAAGAAGGUCCUUGUUUCCCCUUCACCUUCCACCAUGAUUGUAAGUUUCCUGAGGCCUCUCAGUCAUGCUUCCUGUUAAGCCUGUGGAACGGUGA